GAUGAACGCUGGCGGCGUGCUUAACACAUGCAAGUCGAACGAACCUUCGGGUUAGUGGCGGACGGGUGAGUAACGCGUGAGAAUCUGCCCUCAGGAGGGGGACAACAGCUGGAAACGGCUGCUAAUACCCCAUAUGCCGCGAGGUGAAAUGAAUUUCGCCUGAGGAUGAGCUCGCGUCUGAUUAGCUAGUUGGUGUAGGUAAUGGCUCACCAAGGCAUCGAUCAGUAGCUGGUCUGAGGGGAUGAUCAGCCACACUGGGACUGAGACACGGCCCAGACUCCUACGGGAGGCAGCAGUGGGGAAUUUUCCGCAAUGGGCGAAAGCCUGACGGAGCAACGCCGCGUGAGGGAUGAAGGCCUCUGGGCUGUAAACCUCUUUUAUCAAGGAAGAAGAUCUGACGGUACUUGAAGAAUAAGCCACGGCUAAUUCCGUG
rnacentral:rRNA from 1 species